UUGUAUAUGCAUGCUAGUCAUUUAGAAAUCCCAUGUGUUAAACUCAUAAUUUUCCCUUCAAGUCACAUAACAAUUCAUAAAGUAGAUUGAUGGCAAACUUUAUAAAAACAAUUAUUUAACAUAAAACAUAAUUUAAAAAUCCAUGCUAUAUCUACAAAGUAUACUAGCACAUGAGGUUUUCAGGGUAAUAACUAUAUCACAUAUAUUAAAGUCACUCACCGAGAUAAGCCCGCAAAGCCUCACUGAGUCUCUAGUAAUACUAAUUUUAGUAUUUAUAAUGAUUUGGGACAUGUUGACCAAAGGUCAACUCUUAGUCAACGUUGGGGUCCACAACCCUACGUAAUUCGAUCUGGAACAUCUGCCCAUGAAUUUUCGAUCCAUAACUUCCCAAGAGUCUCAUUAAUCUUCUAGAACAAUAUCCUAAAAUUUCGAAGUGAUUCAACAAUCAGAUCUCCGCCAAUUGCUAAAAUUAUGGGGUGAUCAACACAUGGUUUUACGAACUUAGAAAUUCAAUUCGGGAAGAUCCGUACAUCGGAUUCCUGAUUCGUAAGUUUCAAAGUCCUCAAAUAUUAGUACUAUAACGCAUUAAAGUUUGGUGACGAUCGAACAGUUGAAUGGUCGAUUCAUAUAAUGAUCAAGUGGUGUGCCAUAAUGAAACUAGGUUCAAACAAUCAAAUCACAUCAAGUGGAUAUCAAAAAUGAAAUCAGGACAUCUAAUCAAACUUGAAAAGGCAUCGUCGGCCCAUUGGCCACUCAUCGUCGCACGCACCGCCGCAGGUGGCGAUUUCCAGCGAAGGAAACCUAAUUUUCCAACUAACUCUAAAAAUUACCAAAUUUUACAGACAUGUAGAUCUCAAUGAGAGGAACAACUUUCAUACCUUGGCCAAAGUCCAAUUCGACCUCAAAAUGAGCUUCAAUGCCUCCACCACAAUUUGGGCUUUGUUCAUGAGGUUGAAUGAAGUCUAUUAGUGGUAGUGGUUGAUUAAAUUAGCUUCAGGUUUAACGGAUCGCCCCCGUGGAACCAUUGCACCCAUCGGUACGGUUCUUCAUGAAACCGAGCCAAAAUUUCAUCAAUUUUGGGGUGGAAGAGGAAGAGGGAAUGAUGGGGAAUGUUUUCCAGGUAGUGGGGAGCCUUGGAUCGCCGAAAAAAAAAUGCCAUAGUCGGCGUUAGAAUGUGUGGAGGAACCGGGUUGGGGAGCUAAGUCAGGUUGGAAAACGAGUCAAAAGGAUUAACAGAUUCCCUCUUUUUUCCCCUCUCUCCUUUCCCUCUUCUCAUUGAACCCUCACUCCCCUCACUAAUUUCCCUUCUGUCUCUCCUCAUCUCUCUAUCCUAGCCACACAUGUGGCACCAGAUCAAUGCUCCAACAAAUGUAAAGCCUUCCAGAUUUAUGGUCAAAUGGCCAUUUUGCCCUCAACUUCGUUCGUUUAUAACUCUUUCGUUAUAACUCUGAAUUCCAUUUUGUUUACGCCCACGCGUCCAUUUCAAAACGUAAUAUUCGAAUAUGCAAAGAAAUUCAAAAAAUCAUGAAAUAUCAAAUACGCUCAUGAAGAAUCCCGUUUAAUACAUUAAGAGAAAUUUCGUCCUUUCACUUAUAAAAAAAAUUAUACGCUGCAAAUACAAACGCGUCAAAACUACAAAUAAGAAUAUAAAAUAUGAAAUACGUAAUUUUCAAUAAUGAAAAUCGGGGAAGGGAUUUCACAUGGUGGAUCUCUCACAACUGCUCUCAUGAGUAGACUUCUUCUUCUUAGCAGCAAAUCGACGUCAACAGCAGGAGGAACAAGCCCAAGUACCACCCUACUUGCAGAAUCCUCAUUUCCACUCUUCAUGGCAAUAAGUCUCUCCGAAGUCGGGUCAGACUUAGCUCCAGAUACUGGGGGCACAACAGAACCUUUAUUUGUGCAAUAUUGUCAGCAAUCAGUCUAGCCACCUUCGGGGCAGCCAACUUCACAUGCUCAUCUUCAGCUAGCUUCGGAACAAUAGGCUUCACAAGCUCAGACCCAGCAACCUCUUUCUUCCCCUUUGAAGAAGUUAAGUCAAUCACAAGAGUAGGUGACAAAGAUCUUUUUCCUCCUAUUUUCGUUCGUAGCAAGCUCCACGACAGCGAUUGAACGAGCUAAUGCCUUACCUUCUCUCGGGGGUAGUCCACUUUUCUCCCAAAGAAAAGUGCUAAGUAGCCAGCCAUUCAUGAUAAUCAGCAAGAAUGCUCAAGACGACGUGCGCCUUCUUCAUAUCUGACGAAGUCUUUGGAGUUAAGCCUAAAGACGAAAGGUAUUCAAUGAACAAGUCAGAAGCAGCUUAACACUAGCAUAAAGCAGCCUAAAGACGAAGUAGUUUACUUACUAUUAAUGAACUAAGAUGAAAUCUGCAAUUUAGGCGAGAAGUUGGAUUCCCACUCUCCUUUUAAUUUCUAAGGUGUCUCUAACCCAGUCCUA
rnacentral:lncRNA from 1 species